UCAUGGCUCAGGACGAACGCUGGCGGCGUGCCUAAUACAUGCAAGUCGAACGCACUGACGGAGAACUUGUUCUCUUGACGUGAGUGGCGCACGGGUGAGUAACACGUGGGAAACCUACCCUUCAGCGGGGGAUAACCAUCGGAAACGAUGACUAAUACCGCAUAGACGACAGAACCGCCUGGUUCAAUCGGGAAAGACGGCUUCGGCUGUCACUGAAGGAUGGUCCCGCGCUGCAUUAGCUAGUUGGUAAGGUAACGGCUUACCAAGGCGAUGAUGCAUAGCCGACCUGAGAGGGUGAUCGGCCACAUUGGGACUGAGACACGGCCCAAACUCCUACGGGAGGCAGCAGUAGGGAAUCUUCCGCAAUGGACGCAAGUCUGACGGAGCAACGCCGCGUGUGUGAAGAAGGUUUUCGGAUCGUAAAGCACUGUUAUUAGAGAAGAACAGCCGAUAGAGUAACUGUUAUCGGUUUGACGGUAUCUAACCAGAAAGUGACGGCUAACUACGUGCCAGCAGCCGCGGUAAUACGUAGGUCACAAGCGUUGUCCGGAUUUAUUGGGCGUAAAGGGAGCGCAGGCGGUUUGUUAAGUCUGAUGUGAAAGCCCACGGCUCAACCGUGGAACGGCAUUGGAAACUGGCAAACUUGAGUAUAGAAGAGGAAAGUGGAAUUCCAUGUGUAGCGGUGAAAUGCGUAGAUAUAUGGAGGAACACCAGUGGCGAAGGCGACUUUCUGGUCUAUAACUGACGCUGAGGCUCGAAAGCGUGGGGAGCGAACAGGAUUAGAUACCCUGGUAGUCCACGCCGUAAACGAUGAGUGUUAAGUGUUGGGGGGCUUCCACCCCUCAGUGCUGG
rnacentral:rRNA from 1 species